rnacentral:rRNA from 1 species
GUCUAUGGCCAUGCUACCCUGAACAAGUGGGAUCCUGUCUGAUCUCAAAAGCUAAGCAGGAUCGGGCCUGGUUAGUACUUGGAUGGGAGACCACCUAGGAAGACCAGGUGCUGUAGGUG